rnacentral:lncRNA from 1 species
AAUAAUUCAUUUAAAAUAUUUUUAGUUAUAGUUGGACACAAUACCUUUAUUUAUUUAUCUAUUUUUAUUUGGUGCUGAGGAUCAAACCCAGGACCUCGCACAUGCUAAGCAAGUGCUCUACCACUGAGCCACAACCCCAGCCCCAGGAUUAAUUCAUUAUAACUCUAUGAGUAAAGUAAGUUUUUUUUUCUCUGACUUGAACAGAAAAUUCUAAGAAAGGUUACAUACAAGAAUACAAACAACAAUAAGGGUUGGCAAGAAUGUGGUGGAAAAGGCACACUCAUACAUUGCUGGUGGGACUUCAAAUUGGUGCAACCACUCUGGAAAGCAGUAUGGAGAUUCCUUAGAAAAGUUGGAAUGGAACCACCAUUUGACCCAGCUAUCCCACUCUUAUGUCUAUACCCAAAGGACUUAAAAUCAGCAGACUACAGUAACGCAGCCACAUCAACGUUUAUGGCAGCUCAAUUCACAAUAGCUAAACUAUGGAACAAACCUAGAUGCCCUUCAAUAGAUGAAUGGAUAAAGAAACUGUAGUAUACGUACACAAUGGAAUAUUACUCAGCAUUAAAAGAGAAUAAAAUUAUGGCAUUUGCAGGUAAAUAGUUGGAGAAUAUCAUGCUAAGUGAAGUAAGCCAAUCCCAGAAAACCAAAGGCUGAAUGUUCUCUCUGAUAAGUGAAUGCUGAUACAUAUUGGGGGGGGCAUGGGAAAAAUGGAGGAACUUUGAUUGGGCAAAGGGGAGGGAGGAGAGGAGAGGUGGCAUGGAGGCAGGAAGGAUGGUGGAAUGAGAUGGACAUCAUUACCCUAGGUACAAGGAUGACUGCACAUAUGGUGUGACACUAUAUCUUGACAACCAGAGAAAUGAAAAGUUGUGCUGCAAUUGUGUACAGUGAAUCAAAAUACAUUCUGCUGUCAUAUAUACCUAAUUAAAAUAAAUACACUGAAAAAAAAGAAGGGAGGCCUUUGAGAAAGUGAUCAAACCAUGCAGACUCCACCUUUAUGAAUGGUAAUAGUGUUCUUAUAAAAGAGGUUGAAGGGAGCCACAUUACCCCUUUCAUCACAUAAGGAUAUAGUAAGAAGGUGCCAUUUUUUGGGGGGUGGGUACCAGGGAUUGAACUCAGGGGCACUUGACCAUGAACCACAUCCCCAGUCCUAUUUAGUAUUUUAUUUAGAGACCGGAUCUUGCUGAGUUGCUUAGCACCUUCUUGUUGCUGAGACUGGCUUUGAGCUCUUGAUCCUCCUGUCUCAGCCUCCUGAGCCACUUGGAUUACAGGCGGGCACUACCAUGCCUGUCUGAAGGUGCCAUUUUUGAAGCAGAGAGCAAGCCCUCCAACCAGACUUGGAAUGUGCUGGUGCCUUGAUGGUAGGCUUCCCAGCCUCCAGAACUGUGAGCAAUAAAUUUCUGUAGUUUACAAAUUCUUCAGUCUAAGGUGUUUUGUUACAGCAGCAGGAAGAGACUAAGACAC